UACGGAGGGUGCAACCGUUGCUCGGAAUCAUUGGGCGUAAAGCGCACGUAGGCGGCCUGUUAAGUCGGAUGUGAAAGCCCCGGGCUCAACUCGGGAAGUGCAUUCGAAACUGGCAGGCUUGAAUAUGGAAGAGGGUCGCGGAAUUCCCGGUGUAGAGGUGAAAUUCGUAGAUAUCGGGAGGAACACCAGUGGCGAAGGCGGCGACCUGGGCCAAUAUUGACGCUGAGGUGCGAAAGCGUGGGGAGCAAACAGG
rnacentral:rRNA from 1 species